ACCUUCAUGCUUACCACUGUGAACGUGUCGAAUUUGUUGAAUAGGGCCCUUAACCUCAUUUCUUCCCUAAUUUACUUCCUGUGACAGGUAAAUAUAAGCAGGCCGCAGCGUCCAUCAAGUAAAAUGCAUAAACAAGCAAAUACAAGGGGAAAGUUUAAAAUGCCUGGAAAAAGACGACGAUACAAUGUUCGAUUUCCGCCUGGUCGUAUUAAGAAAAUCAUGCAGAAGGAUACAGAGGUGGGAAGAAUGGCCAUGGCGGUGCCAGUGCUUAUUUCUAAAGUUUUGGAGAUGUUUCUGAGAUCCCUUCUCACAAAGGCUAACCUAAUCACACAAUCAAGGCACAGCAGAACCUUAUCCGUUAACCACGUGAAGCAGUGCAUAGAUUCCGAGAGGACAUUUGAUUUCCUCAGGGCCAUUGCGGAGCAGGCUCAUGCCACCUCCGCAACCAAAGAGAGUCAAGAGAAAGGGAACUGGCCACAACACAGCAAAUUGGCUUUUUUUGCAGGAGAAGGUGGCAGGAUAUUCCUGUGAAAGCAAAGCCGUGUAAGAAGGAAGAGCCUCCUAAGAUAGCCAUCAGAGAAUCCCAGAGAGAACCUCUCUAUAAUGACAGCUCUUCCAGUGUACGUGCUCUCUUUUUCCUGCUCACCUUCUUAGCAACACACCGCUGCAAUGCAAAUGGUUUGUGAUCGCUACUCUUCGCCUUUUAGGAGUCAGAGCUGUACAUCUGUUUGGAUUGAUAGUUAUGAACAGUCUUGCUGUUGACAAACGGGUUUACUAUCCAUGGUGUUGCCUUCGCCACGAAUGUCAUUGGAAACAGAUGUUUGAACUGCUGUGAAGACCCAACAGUCAUUUUUGUUAUGAAUUUGUAUAUUGGUGAUUUAUUAUUUGUCGGGUGAGAAAGUAUUAGUGGUCAAAUUCAAUUGAUCUGCAGACAAAGUUUAAUAAUACAAUGAUGUGUGUAUGUUAAUAUGUAAGUGACAAGAAUAACUUUAUUUGAAUGUGUUUGUAUCCUGGAGGUUGGAUGGGGAAAAAAUACCAGAUCUGUAAUAUGUGUACACUUAAUCGACAUUUAUUUUCGGUUUUGUUGGUUUAAAUAACUAUUAUCAUCAAUACUAUUUUUAUGAAAAAGAAAUACUGUAUCGUUCUUCAUAUUACAACUUCCUGUGAACCUGCUUAAUUUCAUAAAGGUGAAAAUCAGAAAUCCAUUGGGAUAAUCAUGAACUA